AAAGGUAUAGAAGAAGAGUCUGGAAAGGCUCACCAAAGUGGGUGAUAGUCCCGUAUUUGAAAUGCCAUUAAUGCUGUUGACGAAGAGUAGGUCGGGACACGAGAAAUCCUGAUUGAACAUGGGGGGACCAUCCUCCAAGGCUAAAUACUCCUGACUGACCGAUAGUGAACCAGUACCGUGAGGGAAAGGCGAAAAGAACCCCGUAGAGGGGAGUGAAAUAGAUCCUGAAACCGUAUACGUACAAGCAGUAGGAGCAGACUUGUUCUGUGACUGCGUACCUUUUGUAUAAUGGGUCAGCGACUUAU
rnacentral:rRNA from 1 species